ensembl:misc_RNA Y_RNA Y RNA
GGCUGGUCCUAGGGUAGUCAAUUAUCUUAAUUGAUCACAGUCAGAUACAUAUUGAAUUACUUGUUAUACUCUUCCCCCCUUUCUCACUACUAAACUUGACUACUCUUAA